UACAGAGGGCGCAAGCGUUGUUCGGAUUCAUUGGGCGUAAAGGGUGCGUAGGCGGCGCGGUAAGUCGGGUGUGAAAUCUCGGGGCUUAACUCCGAAACUGCAUUCGAUACUGCCGUGCUUGAGGACUGGAGAGGAGACUGGAAUUUACGGUGUAGCGGUGAAAUGCGUAGAUAUCGUAAGGAAGACCAGUGGCGAAGGCGGGUCUCUGGACAGUUCCUGACGCUGAGGCACGAAGGCCAGGGGAGCAAACGGG
rnacentral:rRNA from 1 species